AACCCGAAUGCCUUUAAACUAGUUCAAGAACAAGAAAAACGAGAAGACCAUCCUAUCCUAAGUCCUAACCGACAAAUAAACAAACACUAGAUAGAAGAUGAUCCUUCCUUGCAUAUCAACGGUUGUUUUCUUCUCCUCCUCCUAUGUUUUAUCUUUGAGAUAGCGAGAGACAAACAAGGAUCGCCUGAACAGUUGAAAAUGGCUUUUUUAAAAGAAAUCACCAAAGUAACGGCUAUCUACAUGCAGCUGUCGAUCAUCAUGACGAUCACCAUCAUACAGCACUCGAAAGCCAGGGAAGUACGACCGUCAGAUCACGGGCUGGAUCACCAGAGCCUGCCACCAACAGGGGCGAAAUUCCCACCUGACAUGAAAGAAUUCUUUGGAGCAUCUAAUCCAGCGACGAGAAAUACGAUGUCGCCGUCAACUGGUGUUGCAUUGCCCAAAGUAAAGAACUCAAGCGACACGACGUGGUGGAGAACCGCUGGUGGUGGUGGUGGUAAAGGCGGUGGUGAUGAUCAUGUGAGGCACCUGCUGUUGGUGGCAAGUUUGGUGUGUGGGGUCACGGGAUUGGGUUUGUUAGUUUCUUCUGCUGUCAUUUGCUACUGCUUUAUUAGGCAUAAAAACAAACAUUCAUCAUCAGCAGCAACAGAUAAUAAUAAUAAUAAUAGGAGUAUUACUGUAUAAGCUGUGUUCAAUCUGGGAGUCCCCUGGUUUACUUUGAGCAACUGCUGGAUCUAGUUGGUGUUUUUUUUGUUCUUAACUUGACAUGUGAAACACAUUAAGUCAGGGCCACGACGACAUUUCUCGAGCGGUGUUUCUAGAAUGGUCUUUGGUUGGUUAAAAUAGUCAUCACUUAGUAUUAUAGUUACUAGAAACUCUAAUUGGUCUUUUUAGAGAUUCUAGGUAAGUAACUGGUUGCGUAAAAGAAAGGUAUUAGUAUCCUUAGUACGCCCUACUCGAGAUAAGUUGCAUUGUUUUUUUUCUUUGUGUGCUAUGGUAUGAUAAUGUUUCUAUUUCUAUCAACUUAUUAUGAAGGGUUUGCUACAAUGAACAAGCUCAAAUUUUUUAGGUCAAGAACUUGGUUUAGAAAAGUAAAAUGUGCUCAAUUAUCAUUGAAGCUUCUUUCGGGGUGAACUUGAAUUUUUUAGU